GACAGAGGGUGCAAACGUUGUUCGGAAUUACUGGGCGUAAAGCGCGUGUAGGCUGUCGUGCAAGUCGGAUGUGAAAGCCCAGGGCUCAACCUUGGAAGUGCAUUCGAAACUGCAAGACUUGAAUCUCGGAGAGGGUGGCGGAAUUCUGGGUGUAGAGGUGAAAUUCGUAGAUAUCCAGAGGAACACCGGUGGCGAAGGCGGCCACCUGGACGAGUAUUGACGCUGAGACGCGAAAGUGUGGGGAGCAAAC
rnacentral:rRNA from 1 species